AUCUCUAGGUAAUAAAGACCUGCAUUACGAGAUCUGCUAUCUUUUCUCAAGAUUCUACACUCUUCAGGGUGACCCUCGCCUCGGUCUUCGUCAUAUUGUCAAGGCUGUCCAUCGGCACCCGGACCGUGCGGAAUUAUGGGAUCAGCUGGCGGCCUUUAUUGUACAAGUCUGUCCU